UACGUAGGGUGCGAGCGUUGUCCGGAAUUAUUGGGCGUAAAGAGCUUGUAGGCGGUUUGUCGCGUCUGCUGUGAAAUCUCAAGGCUCAACCUUGAGCUUGCAGUGGGUACGGGCAGACUAGAGUGUGGUAGGGGAGACUGGAAUUCCUGGUGUAGCGGUGAAAUGCGCAGAUAUCAGGAGGAACACCGAGUGGCGAAGGCAGGUCUCU
rnacentral:rRNA from 1 species